GCCCGCCGAACGCCUGCCCUGGCUCCCUGAAGGCACCGCAGAGCUGCCCGCGCCUUCCUCUGAGGGAAACAGCGCAGGGAUCUGCUGGCCGCAAGGAGGGGGCAGGUGCCUGUGGGGUGACCCAGCUCGGGGGAUGUCUGUGGAGCAUCCCUGGGGAUCUUCUAAAUCCGUUGGACAGUGAGCAGCCGGCUGUGGGUAGCUUUGCUUGAGCGUGGAGGGCUGGAGAAGUUGACCUCCAGAGAGGCCGGCUUCCCAACAGCACAAACUCAGAGCAGCCCAGCUGAUGACCUAGUAAGAGCCAUGUGCAAGGUAGCACACCUAACUUUUAAAGGUUAGAUGCAGCGUUAAACGUGUAACCUAUACAGCGUAUCUUUGCAUACAGGUGUUUCCAGUUUAAAGUUACUCUGGGACUGCAGUAGGGAUUGUUUCUUCCAGUGAGGGAACUGCACGGAACUAAUGAUUUCAAAUCAUAUCGGGCAGAGGACACUGUACUGAUUCACUUCAUUGACUUCCACUGCAGUUCCAGAAAUGGCAAUGGCAUUUUUACAAAGAUGACUAAAAAUUAUACACAGAAUGUCGAGUCAUUAAUCUAAUCUAUGUUUGCUGAACAGCUGCCAAUAGCAGACCUGAAUCGCUAGCAUUUUGAGUUAUUUUCAAUGUCAAGGUUAAGAACCAAAUGAUCUAUAGCCAAGUGCUGUUCGAUCCUGGAUAUUCACUCCUUGCGAUCUUGUUUUAGUCAGAGAGAAAAAAGAAACAGCAUUCUGCUUUGUCUUGUCCACAGCUGCCUGCAUCUUUUGUUUUUGUUUUUGUUUUCUAAUAAGAAGUAUGUACAGUUAAAGCAAAAAUACAUGCUACAACAACUUUACACUCAUGUUUACUUUCACUCGUUUUGUGCUGGCUGUUACCACAGCCCUUUGAUUUGGAGGGUUUGGUUGCUCUUGGAAAUGCAGAUGUUCCAUUUCAGCAACCACAGUCCGAAGAGAACAUCUCAUAUACUCCGCAAAAGUUACAGGGUGUAGGCUUGGGAUCGUUUCAUGUGUGAUGCAGAAAGUAAUUCCUAAAAUACAAAGAAAAUGCUUCUUAUAAAGAAAAUGCUUCUUACGCUCCUCAUAUUAAGCAAGAUAAAAAUCAUUACAGAUACAGAGACUGGGUUCAGAUGUUAAAACACAGGCAGGGAUGAAGCCAGACCUCAGUGGGAUGAUUUGAAACACCUAGCUGCGAAGAAUGCAAUAUUCAUGAGGCCUGUAAUAGAGUAAGGAGGAAGAAGCCCAAAUCUGCAGCUCAGGGCAGGGUCACCCUGUAGUGACACAAGUCCUGAGCCAUGCUCCAGGUGCUGCUUAUGUGUUUUAUCCAGAAUCUGUGGGGAAGCAUGUAGGUACUCAUGGAAAUGCAAAGCUUUCUUCCAUCCUUUCCAGGUCUCCCUGCAACUAAGGUGCACGGGUCUUACUCUCACUUGCCUUUCACAUCUUUGCAUUACUCUGGGUUUUUUUACAUUGGCCCAGGUUCAACACAGUAAGUAGAGAGAAGCACCAUCCAUUAGCUUGGCAACUGGGAGAAUUCACAGAGAUACAAGAGCUGGGCGUCAGACAGACUCAGGUUCACGUGUUUAUUUUCUAGUGAAGGAUCUUGCCCCUAGACUGGUACUCCAGAAUGCCUCUUCCACUGUUUGUGCUUUCGAAAAGAUGUGAGGCUCCAGUCCUAUGACCUUGCAUAUCCCAGUGCAUCCCAGCUUUCCAACAAAGGGCAGUUGCUGCUGUUUCCUCUUUACAGCACAGUGCAUUUUCAGUCCAGAAUCCUCAGAAGAAACCGCUCCCACUGCCUGCGAGCAGUCUUCUCCUGAAGAAUCAUGACAGCUGCUUCAAGCUGAUUAUACAUUAUUCAGUCCAUCAGCACAUGGUGCCCAACUCUACUGCUCAAGUAAUCUUUUCCUCACUACAUAAACUAUAUCACCGUCCACUCUUAACUUGCCUUCACUGGCUUCCUUCCUGUCUCUUAACUCCUCACUUCAAGCUCUUCAUCCUCCAUUUAAAGACCAAACAUCAUCUCCCCCCCUCCAUUCCUGACCCUACUUCCCUUUCCUCCCAGUAGGGCUGCCGCAGCUUGCUUUGUUCCAGCUGUCUCUCUCCUUUUGUUUCCCAGCUGCUUUCU